CUAGUUUUCAGUGGGACACAAAGCUGUGACUGUGAAGGGUGAACUUACCAGGAGCAGAGGACACGAGAAAAGAAUUUACUGCAAGGCUGCCAGACAAGGGUAAAAUAGACAAAACUCAAAUCUGUCUCCUUGAACUCAGGCUUGAGACAAGUUUUACAAGUAGAUGGUGUGAAAGCGCAAGCCUUUUGUUUUCUCUUACCUGCAUUACUGGCGCUCCUGGAAUCUCGGUGGGGCAGUGUCACCGUGGCUGUGGAAAAUGCACUAUACUCCCCAGGUGAAAAUCUGGGCAGGUUCGUGUGGGCAUCCUAGAGACUACCCCUUCCCUCCCCGGGAGGCUGUCACACCACCAAGUCACUAUAGGGCACAAGCAUCACGUGAUGGCCACCAAAGAAAAAUCCAUCUUUCAAGAAAGUAUGUAGCCAGUCAGCGACCAGUUUCCCAGAUUACUAAAGAUGGACCAUUAUCGUGACCAACCACCACGAUCAAUAAUUUUUAAGAAGCAUUAGUGGGCGUAUUU